rnacentral:rRNA from 1 species
GAUGAACGCUGGCGGCGUGCCUAAUACAUGCAAGUCGAGCGAACAGACGAGGGGCUUGCUCCUCUGACGUUAGCGGCGGACGGGUGAGUAACACGUGGAUAACCUACCUAUAAGACUGGGAUAACUUCGGGAAACCGGAGCUAAUACCGGAUAACAUGUUGAACCGCAUGGUUCAACAGUGAAAGACGGUCUUGCUGUCACUUAUAGAUGGAUCCGCGCCGCAUUAGCUAGUUGGUAAGGUAACGGCUUACCAAGGCAACGAUGCGUAGCCGACCUGAGAGGGUGAUCGGCCACACUGGAACUGAGACACGGUCCAGACUCCUACGGGAGGCAGCAGUAGGGAAUCUUCCGCAAUGGGUGAAAGCCUGACGGAGCAACGCCGCGUGAGUGAAGAAGGUCUUCGGAUCGUAAAACUCUGUUAUUAGGGAAGAACAAAUGUGUAAGUAACUAUGCACGUCUUGACGGUACCUAAUCAGAAAGCCACGGCUAACUACGUG